rnacentral:rRNA from 1 species
AUUGAACGCUGGCGGCAGGCCUAACACAUGCAAGUCGAACGAGUGGCGGACGGGUGAGUAAUGUAUGGGAAAAUGCCCGAUGGAGGGGGAUAACUACUGGAAACGGUAGCUAAUACCGCAUACCAUCGGAUGUGCCCAGAUGGGAUUAGCUUGUAGGGUAGGUACAGGAUCACCUAGGCGACGAUCCCUAGCUGGUCUGAGAGGAUGAGCGGACACACUGGAAUUGAGACACGGGCCAGACCCGUACGGGAGGCAGGAGCGGGGAAUAUUGCACAAUGGGCGCAAGCCUGAUGCAGCCAUGCCUCGUGUAUGAAGAAGGCCUUCGGGUUCUAAAGUACUUUCAGCGGGGAGGCGUUACACGCAGAAGAAGCACCGGCUAACUCCGUGCCAGCCGCCGCGGUAAUAC